rnacentral:misc_RNA from 1 species
AAGGGAUACGCAUCCCAGCUCUUUGAGAAACUCAUGAAUCCCGACAGUCUUCCUGGACAGAUUUCUCUUUGUAAACCCACUAUGGGGUACAGUUUUGCAGCUGGCACUACUGAUGGUCCAGGCAUGUUUGAUUUUAAACAAGGGAUCACACCGCUAUUUCAGCCAAUGAGCGACGUGUAGCCGAUGAAUUUAGUUCCAUGAAAAAGAGUACCUCUUUUCUUUAUUUUAUUAGGUGAUACUUCAACAAACAUAUUCUGGAACACUGUCCGCAAUCUGCUGCAAAUACCAACAGCAGCUCAAGUUGCCUGUCAUCACCCAAAACCCAUACUGCUUGAUACUGGCGAGAUUAGUUUCCCAUAUCUAUGGCAACCACAGAUUAUUGAAGUGUAAAUCUUGAGACUUGGUCAGCUUGCCAUCAUUGCUGUUCCAGCAGAGUUCACAACAAUGUCUGGCAGAAGAACCAGAGAUGCUGUAAAAGAAACACUAAAAGCUGGUGGUUUUCCUGCUGACACCUUAUCUGUUAUUGCUGGUUUGUCCAAUGAUUAUGGCGAUUAUGUUGCAACAUAUGAAGAAUACCAG